rnacentral:tRNA from 1 species
GCCAGCAUGGCAUAGUGGUUUAAGUGUUGGGCUACGACUCUGGAGACCAGGGUUCGAAUCCCGGUUCGGCCA